GCAAGAACAGUGAAGAGGAGCAGUAAGAAGCCCAUUUUGUUUCAGAGAGUUGACGGCUGGUGAAAGUCAAUCAAAUGAGCUUCCGAACUCGCCUCAGAGUUGCAGCAGUGAUAAGCUGCUGCCGCGUAUCUGCGUUACAGAUAUCAAGUGAGUGUGCCGCGUGCACACUAACAAGGGUGGUACCGCGGGAAAUCUCUCGUCCCUUCU
rnacentral:ncRNA from 1 species